rnacentral:lncRNA from 1 species
AAGAUGUAACAUAACUAAAGUUAAGAAUGAUAAAAGGAUGUUCAAUACCAUGUCAUGUUCAUUGAGUUGACAAAGCCUCUCAGUAGUCACAAUCACAUUGCUUUCUCCCUCCUCGAGCUGCUUUAUUCAAAAAUAUGACAAGUCUGGCACAAAGUACCCAUGAUCCUUAAGCUGUCUAGGCAGGCCUCCACGGCAGUCAUAUCAAAAGUUACCCUAUUUGGUGCUAUUUGACCCCAUGCGAC